rnacentral:rRNA from 1 species
AUUGAACGCUGGCGGCAGGCUUAACACAUGCAAGUCGAGCGGUAAGGCUCCUUCGGGAGUACACGAGCGGCGAACGGGUGAGUAACACGUGAGCAAUCUGCCCUUCACUUUGGGAUAAGCACCGGAAACGGUGUCUAAUACCGAAUACGACCACUUCCGGCAUCGGAUGGUGGUGGAAAGUUCCGGCGGUGAAGGAUGAGCUCGCGGCCUAUCAGCUUGUUGGUGGGGUAACGGCCCACCAAGGCUUCGACGGGUAGACGGCCUGAGAGGGUGACCGGCCACACUGGGACUGAGACACGGCCCAGACUCCUACGGGAGGCAGCAGUGGGGAAUAUUGGACAAUGGGCGAAAGCCUGAUCCAGCAACGCCGCGUGAGGGAUGACGGCCUUCGGGUUGUAAACCUCUUUCAGCAGGGACGAAGCGCAAGUGACGGUACCUGCAGAAGAAGCACCGGCCAACUACGUGCCAGCCGCCGCGGUAACAC